UACGUAGGUGGCAAGCGUUGUUCGGAAUUAUUGGGCGUAAAGAGCGUGUAGGCGGCCUGGUAGGUCAGCUGUGAAAACUCGAGGCUCAACCUCGAGACGUCGGCGGAAACCAUCUGGCUAGAGUCCGGAAGAGGAGAGUGGAAUUCCUGGUGUAGCGGUGAAAUGCGCAGAUAUCAGGAAGAACACCCGUGGCGAAGGCGGCUCACUGGCCCGGUACUGACGCUGAGGUGCGAAAGCGUGGGGAGCAAACAGG
rnacentral:rRNA from 1 species